rnacentral:rRNA from 1 species
GACGAACGCUGGCGGCGUGCUUAACACAUGCAAGUCGAACGGAAAGGCCCUGCUUUUGUGGGGUGCUCGAGUGGCGAACGGGUGAGUAACACGUGAGUAACCUGCCCUUGACUUUGGGAUAACUUCAGGAAACUGGGGCUAAUACCGGAUAGGAGCUCCUGCUGCAUGGUGGGUGUUGGAAAGUUUCGGCGGUUGGGGAUGGACUCGCGGCUUAUCAGCUUGUUGGUGGGGUAGUGGCUUACCAAGGCUUUGACGGGUAGCCGGCCUGAGAGGGUGACCGGCCACAUUGGGACUGAGAUACGGCCCAGACUCCUACGGGAGGCAGCAGUGGGGAAUAUUGCACAAUGGGCGGAAGCCUGAUGCAGGAACGCCGCGUGCGGGAUGACGGCCUUCGGGUUGUAAACCGCUUUCGCCUGUGACGAAGCGUGAGUGACGGUAAUGGGUAAAGAAGCACCGGCUAACUACGUG